UUUAAUUGAAGAGUUUGAUCAUGGCUCAGAUUGAACGCUGGCGGCAGGCCUAACACAUGCAAGUCGAGCGGUAACAGGAGAAAGCUUGCUUUCUUGCUGACGAGCGGCGGACGGGUGAGUAAUGUAUGGGGAUCUGCCCGAUAGA
rnacentral:rRNA from 1 species